GACGAACGCUGGCGGCGUGCCUAAUACAUGCGAGUAGAACGCUGAAGAGAGGAGCUUGCUCUUCUUGGAUGAGUUGCGAACGGGUGAGUAACGCGUAGGUAACCUGCCUUGUAGCGGGGGAUAACUAUUGGAAACGAUAGCUAAUACCGCAUAACAAUGGAUGACACAUGUCAUUUAUUUGAAAGGGGCAAUUGCUCCACUACAAGAUGGACCUGCGUUGUAUUAGCUAGUAGGUGAGGUAAUGGCUCACCUAGGCGACGAUACAUAGCCGACCUGAGAGGGUGUGCGGCAACACUGGGACCGAGACAAGGCCCAGACUCCUCAGGGGGGCAGCAGUAGGGAAUCUUAGGCAAUGGGGGCAACCCUGACCGAGCAACGCCGCGUGAGUGAAGAAGGGUUUCGGAUCGUAAAGCUCUGUUGUAAGUCAAGAACGGGUGUGAGAGUGGAAAGUUCACACUGUGACGAUAGCUUACCAGAAAGGGACGGCUAACUACGUG
rnacentral:rRNA from 1 species